CCUACGGGAGGCAGCAGUGAGGAAUAUUGGUCAAUGGGCGUAAGCCUGAACCAGCCAAGUCGCGUGAGGGAUGAAGGUUCUAUGGAUCGUAAACCUCUUUUAUAAGGGAAUAAAGUGCGGGACGUGUCCCGUUUUGUAUGUACCUUAUGAAUAAGGAUCGGCUAACUCCGUGCCAGCAGCCGCGGUAAUACGGAGGAUGCGAGCGUUAUCCGGAUUUAUUGGGUUUAAAGGGUGCGUAGGCGGCCUUUUAAGUCAGCGGGGAAAGUCUGUGGCUUAAACAUAGAAUUGCCGUUGAAACUGGGAGGCUUGAGUAUGUGUGAGGCAGGCGGAAUGCGUGGUGUAGCGGUGAAAUGCUUAGAUAUCACGCAGAACCCCGAUUGCGAAGGCAGCCUGCCAAGCCAUGACUGACGCUGAUGCACGAAAGCGUGGGGAUCAAACAGGAUUAGAUACCCCAGUAGUC
rnacentral:rRNA from 1 species